rnacentral:rRNA from 1 species
CCUCCGGGAGGCAGCAGUGGGGAAUAUUGGACAAUGGGGGGAACCCUGAUCCAGCCAUGCCGCGUGUGUGAAGAAGGCCCUCGGGUUGUAAAGCACUUUCAGUGAGGAAGAACGCCUGGUGGUUAAUACCCAUCAGGAAAGACAUCACUCACAGAAGAAGCACCGGCUAACUCCGUGCCAGCAGCCGCGGUAAUACGGAGGGUGCGAGCGUUAAUCGGAAUUACUGGGCGUAAAGCGCGCGUAGGUGGCUUGAUAAGCCGGUUGUGAAAGCCCCGGGCUCAACCUGGGAACGGCAUCCGGAACUGUCAAGCUAGAGUGCAGGAGAGGAAGGUAGAAUUCCCGGUGUAGCGGUGAAAUGCGUAGAGAUCGGGAGGAAUACCAGUGGCGAAGGCGGCCUUCUGGACUGACACUGACACUGAGGUGCGAAAGCGUGGGUAGCAAACAGGAUUAGAUACCCCAGUAGUC